GACGAACGCUGGCGGCGUGCUUAACACAUGCAAGUCGAACGGUGAAGGGCUCAGCUUGCUGGUUCUGCAUGUGUGGCGAACGGGUGAGUAACACGUGUGUACUCUGCUCCCUUCUUCUGGAUAACCGCAUGAAUGGGUGGCUAAUACGGGAUAUUCUGGGUCUGUCGCAUGAUGGGUCUGGGAAAGCUGUUGUUUCGGUGGGGGAUGGGCUCGCGGCGUAUGUGCUUGUUGGUGGGGAGCUGGCUGACCAGGGCGGUUACGGGUAGGCGGCCGGAGAGGGGCGGCGGUCACAGUGGGACUGGGACACGUGCGAGACAGCUACGGGAGGCAGUAGUACGGAAUGUAGCAGAAUGGGCGCAAGCCUGAUGCGGCGACGCCGCGUGAAGGAUGGAGGCCUUCGGGUUGUAAGCCUCUUGCGCCAGUGAAGCAGGCCUGCUCCUUGUGGGGGGGUUGACGGUAGCUGGUUAAGAAGCGCCGGCUAACUACGUG
rnacentral:rRNA from 1 species